rnacentral:rRNA from 1 species
GUCUACAGCCAUACCACCCUGAACGCGCCUGAACUCAUGAUCUCGGAAGCUAAGCAGGGUCAGGCCUGGUUAGUACUUGGAUGGGAGAAAACUUUAAAUGUUUUAUAUC